UUAAACAGAUUUAAGACCUGUGUUGAUAGUUCAAAUCACAAAACUAGCUUAAUUUGAUGAGUUAAAAUAGAAAACUUUUUUAACUUGGUCAUGAUCCACAUUUAAAACUAGCCUCUUAGCAUGUUAGUUACAAUUUACAAUUUGAACCAUUCAUAGUUAUCUGCACUGAAUUUCAUAACACUGCACUGAGCUCAUAAAAUAUGCCUAUGUUAUUAAUGUUUAUAGCCCACAUAUGCUGAUGCCAAGCCACCCAUCAUUACCACAAAACCAAAAAGGAAUGUCAUAGUAAGCGGGCAGCCAUCGCCAGAUAUGGUGCCCUCCAUUUCUCUGGCAGGUCAACAGAGCAGAGUGCAGCUCAUUGUAAAGAGUAUAAAUGCAAUGGAGGUAAAUGCUGUGAAGUCCAGGACACUGCCAAGCAUCACAGGAGCUCCAAAUCCAAGUGACAUCGACACAGUCACUUUGGAGAGGGUGACUGAGAGAGUCACAAUUACUGGGAGCCUGUGGAAUAAAGGUACUGGAAGCCCUUCAUUUUUUAUACCUGCAGCUAAUUGGUCCAUGCCUGACAUGGAGGUAAGAACCCAUCACACCUCAUGAUAAUUUUCCAUAACAAGAACUGCACAUGCUUA
rnacentral:lncRNA from 1 species